rnacentral:rRNA from 1 species
CAGGCUGCAACUCGCCUGCAUGAGGUCGGGAAUUGCUAGUAAUCGCAGAUCAGCAUGCUGCGGUGAAUACGUUCCCGGGCCUUGUACACACCGCCCGUCACACCAUGGGAGUCGGUAACACCCGAAGUCGGUAGCCUAACCGUAAGGAGGGCGCCGCCGAAGGUGGGAUUGAUGACUGGGGUGAAGUCGUAACAAGGUAGC